AUGAUGAUAUAAUGAAUCAAUUUUACUAAAAUGUUUUUUUCAAUUUAAUAAAUUAUUUUUAUUUAUUAUAUACUUCUUCCUGAGUUUUCUAUAUUUGUUAACUGUUUAAUAUCCCACAACAUUUUUUUCUUUUUUUUUAUUUUGAUUUUGUUAUAUUUUCCUUUUUUUAUAUUUUUCCUUUUUUUAAAGUACUAUAACAAUCAAUAUAACUUUUUACAUAUUUCAUUAUGAAGUUCAUAUUUGUGUUGCUUUUUAAUCUUAUAUUUUUAUUACCCAUUUUUGAAGUGGUAAUCACUAAUGGAGAAACUGCAAAGGCAAAAAAGAAAGUUUCAAGUUCGCAUUUAAAAUAUGAUAAGUAUACUUUGCGUAGUAGUUGUCAUACCUCAAGACUGCAAUCUGGUGAAAAGGGGUUGAUAAAUAAUUCAAAUUCGAGUAACAAUGUAUUCGUUUUAUAUUUCUAUGCGAAAUGGUGCCACGCGUGUAAACUACAGUCAGCAGAAAUUGAAAAAUUAGAAAGGUCCAUGAAAGCAAGAGUGCGCGUGAUAAAAAUUGACAUAGAUGAAAAUGAAAAAUUGGGUAGAAAAUUUGAUAUAAAUGUCCUACCUACAAUUAUAAUAGUAAAAAACAAAAUUAUUUAUGAAAAAAAACAACGGUUUAUACCAUAUAAUAUUUUAAGUACAUUAGUUAGGAAAUAUUUAUAAGCGAUCUUUAUAGAGUUAUUAUUUUUUUAAUUUGUUUUUUAUUGUUUCUCCCUGUUUUUUUAUAUAUCCAUAUGGUUUCUUAUUUAUUUGUUUAUUUUUAAUUAUUGUUUUCGGCUUGUAAUUUCAUUACUUUAAAUAAAAGUUUGCUUCUUUUUUCA
rnacentral:lncRNA from 1 species